rnacentral:rRNA from 1 species
UGAACGCUGGCGGCAGGCCUAACACAUGCAAGUCGAACGGUAACAGGAAGCAGCUUGCUGCUUUGCUGACGAGUGGCGGACGGGUGAGUAAUGUCUGGGAAACUGCCCGAUGGAGGGGGAUAACUACUGGAAACGGUAGCUAAUACCGCAUAACGUCGCAAGACCAAAGAGGGGGACCUUAGGGCCUCUUGCCAUCGGAUGUGCCCAGAUGGGAUUAGCUAGUAGGUGGGGUAACGGCUCACCUAGGCGACGAUCCCUAGCUGGUCUGAGAGGAUGACCAGCCACACUGGAACUGAGACACGGUCCAGACUCCUACGGGAGGCAGCAGUGGGGAAUAUUGCACAAUGGGCGCAAGCCUGAUGCAGCCAUGCCGCGUGUAUGAAGAAGGCCUUCGGGUUGUAAAGUACUUUCAGCGGGGAGGAAGGGAGUAAAGUUAAUACCUUUGCUCAUUGACGUUACCCGCAGAAGAAGCACCGACUAACUCCGUGCCAGCAGCCGCGGUAAUACGGAGGGUGCAAGCGUUAAUCGGAAUUACUGGGCGUAAAGCGCACGCAGGCGGUUUGUUAAGUCAGAUGUGAAAUCCCCGGGCUCAACCUGGGAACUGCAUCUGAUACUGGCAAGCUUGAGUCUCGUAGAGGGGGGUAGAAUUCCAGGUGUAGCGGUGAAAUGCGUAGAGAUCUGGAGGAAUACCCGGUGGCGAAGGCGGCCCCCUGGACGAAGACUGACGCUCAGGUGCGAAAGCGUGGGGGAGCAAACAGGAUUAGAUACCCUGGUAGUCCACGCCGUAAACGAUGUCGACUUGGAGGUUGUGCCCUUGAGGCGUGGCUUCCGGAGCUAACGCGUUAAGUCGACCGCCUGGGGAGUACGGCCGCAAGGUUAAAACUCAAAUGAAUUGACGGGGGCCCGCACAAGCGGUGGAGCAUGUGGUUUAAUUCGAUGCAACGCGAAGAACCUUACCUGGUCUUGACAUCCACGGAAGUUUUCAGAGAUGAGAAUGUGCCUUCGGGAACCGUGAGACAGGUGCUGCAUGGCUGUCGUCAGCUCGUGUUGUGAAAUGUUGGGUUAAGUCCCGCAACGAGCGCAACCCUUAUCCUUUGUUGCCAGCGGUCCGGCCGGGAACUCAAAGGAGACUGCCAGUGAUAAACUGGAGGAAGGUGGGGAUGACGUCAAGUCAUCAUGGCCCUUACGACCAGGGCUACACACGUGCUACAAUGGCGCAUACAAAGAGAAGCGACCUCGCGAGAGCAAGCGGACCUCAUAAAGUGCGUCGUAGUCCGGAUUGGAGUCUGCAACUCGACUCCAUGAAGUCGGAAUCGCUAGUAAUCGUGGAUCAGAAUGCCACGGUGAAUACGUUCCCGGGCCUUGUACACACCGCCCGUCACACCAUGGGAGUGGGUUGCAAAAGAAGUAGGUAGCUUAACCUUCGGGAGGGCGCUUACCACUUUGUGAUUCAUGACUGGGG